rnacentral:rRNA from 1 species
UCUUCCGCAAUGGAAGAAAGUCUGACGGAGCAACGCCGCGUGCGUGAUGAAGGUUUUCGGAUCGUAAAACUCUGUUGUUAGGGAAGAACNAGUACCGUUCGAAUAGGGCGGUACCUUGACGGUACCUCACCAGCAAGCCACGGCUAACUACGUGCCAGCAGCCGCGGUAAUACGUAGGUGGCAAGCGUUGUCCGGAAUUAUUGGGCGUAAAGCGCGCGCAGGCGGUUUCUUAAGUCUGAUGUGAAAGCCCCCGGCUCAACCGGGGAGGGUCAUUGGAAACUGGUGAACGUGAGUGCAGAAGAGGAUAGUGGAAUUCCACGUGUAGCGGUGAAAUGCGUAGAGAUGUGGAGGAACACCAGUGGCGAAGGCGACUCUCUGGUCUGUAACUGACGCUGAGGCGCGAAAGCGUGGGGAGCGAACAGG